UCGAACUAUCCAUAUUUAUUGAAAGAUAAACAAUAUUUUUGAUUGUAUCGCCUUCUUAUCUCAAAAAUAUUUUUAAAAAAAUUAUUAUUUUUUUAAUUUUGUUGCCCCAUUCACGGCAAUGUGAAGCGCUGUUUGUAUAAAAAAAUACUUUUAAAAAAACAAUCACAGCUCCCCCGGCGUGAUACCGAACGAACCGUCGGAUUGAGCACGUGCUGCAAGAUUGGCGGCACCGGUCGGAGCCUUCGCCUGGAAGAUCGCCUUCGUCUCCUCCGGCUCCGACCCGCUGAAACCGCUAUAACUCCAGCCCUCACCUUUCCACCUCCUCCCCACUUACAAUGUUUAGAAAAUCGCAGUGGCCCCUCGAGAACUGGGCUUUCCACCUUUGGCCCAAGAAUUGCUUCCUAGCCCUAGAUUUCGAGAGCUCUCCGAGAACUCGAGCCGCCAUGGACGAGGAGAACACGGGGACCUUCUGCCGGACGUCGAUUCGGACGAGGAAGAUGGCCGCCGCUCUCGAAAGCUCCUAUAACAGUACCCUGGUGGAUUUCAUCUCCCCCUUUUCUUGUUGCGCGAACCAUUGCAGUUUCAAAUUCUAUGCUCUUGAUUUGAAUCGAAUUGAAUUGAUGCCAUCUUUAACAGAUUGAAGGGAUUGUUUAUCUCUUGUUGAAUCUGACUCCUUUUAUCGAUUAUUUACUUUUAUAUGCAUUUUUCUGAGCGAACGCCUUUAAUAUAUAUUAGAUUAGACGUGAAAAUUGUUGAAGUCGUUUUCUUUUUUAGUCAGUGGAAGAGUCAGGGUAGCUAAAGUUUCGAUUUUAUUUUAUUUUUGUCAUGUUUUCUUCCUUGAACUAGUUUCCCUUUCGGAUAUCAAUAUUGAAAAUUUAGUGACUUUAAUUAGUAUCGAGGGAUUGGAAAAUGACCAUGCUGGAGCAGAGGUGAUUGAGAUUAAAUGAUGAAGAUGAUGCUUCUCUAGAUAACGAUGAUCGAGGUCUGUUUGCAUCUCUUUUGGAUUUUUUUUACCUUUUGGAUGUUUCUCACUGUCACAUAUUCAGAAUUUACGCAAACACCCUGUUCCACUACUUCACUAGAUUAUAUGUAUAAAAAGCUUAGUAUGAAGUUGGUGGCAUCAUAGAUCCUUAUGGAGCUUUGUAUUUUUAAAUUUUCAGGUACUUGAUUUCAGCUGCUCCAUGGCGGCAUAAAUCAAGAGAUGUGCUAAGGGUUGCAGCAUUACACAUGUAACUUUUCUUAUUUUGGAGGGAUCUUUAAAACAAUUUCAAAUGCUGAUCUCAAAAGCAAAGUGCUAUUUUCAGCACCAUCCUAUUUCAUGAAUGUGUAUGGUCAAAAGCAGCAGCUAAGACUAGACCGGCAAAAGCACUGGACAAUGCAAAGAAGGCACCAAGGAAAUUCAUACAGGAUGUAGGCACUAAUGCAUGUCUGUAGGAUAUUAACGGCUACCUGCACCUAUAAUUUGUCUCACAGCUUGUCAUUUGCUUUUAAUUGCGACAGGCAAAUCUAGAGGCAUUGCCUCCGCAUGUUCCUUCCUAUUUGAUGGCCACAAAGCACUACAUCCCAUUCCCAUAUCUGCACAGUUUGUGUGUAUGCUUCCAAUGGAAGGAGAUUCUGUUCAUGAUGUUGUCAGGUUAUACUCAAUGACAUCCAAUGUUCAAAGUUUGUAGCCUGAUCUUUGGCUUGAUUGUUAUCAAGAGCUCCAGGUUGUAAAGAUUGCUUUGAGGUUAGGUUUGUUGAGAAGAAAGGAGGUUCGGUCUCUCUUUGUAAACAUUAUGAUGUUAAACCAUAUGUACUUGAAUGAAUGAUAAAAAAAUGUGCAUUUCAGGAUGCAAUUACA